GACGAACGCUGGCGGCGUGCUUAACACAUGCAAGUCGAACGGAAAGGCCCUGCUUUUGUGGGGUGCUCGAGUGGCGAGCGGGUGAGUAACACGUGAGUAACCUGCCCUUGACUUUGGGAUAACUUCAGGAAACUGGGGCUAAUACCGGAUAGGAGCUCCUGCUGCAUGGUGGGGGUUGGAAAGUUUCGGCGGUUGGGGAUGGACUCGCGGCUUAUCAGCUUGUUGGUGGGGUAGUGGCUUACCAAGGCUUUGACGGGUAGCCGGCCUGAGAGGGUGACCGGCCACAUUGGGACUGAGAUACGGCCCAGACUCCUACGGGAGGCAGCAGUGGGGAAUAUUGCACAAUGGGCGGAAGCCUGAUGCAGCAACGCCGCGUGCGGGAUGACGGCCUUCGGGUUGUAAACCGCUUUCGCCUGUGACGAAGCGUGAGUGACGGUAAUGGGUAAAGAAGCACCGGCCAACUACGUG
rnacentral:rRNA from 1 species